UUAAAGCUGCAAAUGGAGGGGCUAGAUGUGUUUAAUGGCUCAAGCUUAGGAGGAUUAGGGCUUUAUGCCCUCGUCACUUGGACUGAUCGGGCAAAAAAAAAAAGCAGAGACAGAUAUAGUAUUACGAACGAAACAGACGAAUGGAACACACGGAUUCAACAGAAAUCGGGAAAAAAAGAUCAUUUGGGGGUUCGGUCCUCGUCUGAUCAGGAAGAAUCAAGAAGAAAACACGAAUGAAAGCUUGCAAGGGGCGAGGUUUUCGAUCGAGAGAGGAAGGAGGACGCACGGAAGCAACAGUAAGGUCGAAGGGCGAAGGCAUCUACGGUAGUUCGGUGUGAAUGGGAGGUACGAGGGUUCGGUGUGGCUAACGGGUUGCGAAGUGAAGGAGGCCAGAAAGGGUUUCGUCGAUCGGGUUCGCAAACCGAUGUGUUCUCCUGGGUUCGACGGGCCGAAGGGAAGAACGGGAGGGGGUAGGGCAGCAGCGUCGUCGCGGUAGGAAAGAGGUCGAGGGAUCAGAGGGGGCUGUCGCCUCCCGUGUUUGCUCCGGGGAAACACCCACUUCGGUGGGAUUUGCUCUCGAUCGUUGAAAGGAAUCGAUAGGGGAAAUGGAUGUUUAAGUUCCGUGUUUGAAAGGGAAAAAAGAAACAUCGAAAAUCAAAAGGAAGGUGUUUGGUUUGCUUUAUUUGACAGGGAAGGAGGAGCACAAUCGGGGUUGUGAAAUCGAUGGGAAAGAAGACGAGAAACAAAGGGUGUAGCUGCCCUUUAUGGCUAGCUGAAAUACCACAACACCUCCAUUUGGAGGUGUUCUUGGAUUAAAUGGAGGUGUUCUUGGCUGGGAUCGAUGCAGAAAGAAAGAACAUGGAUGUGUUUUGGUUUAUUGUUUUCACAGCUUCAAUUGAAUUGUUUAUAAUAUGUUUUGCUUUGAGUGUAGGAUUGUCCAAUUUCAUUGUGUGUGGUAUUCCUUAUGUGUGUGGUAUUGUAGGAACAUGAUUUUAGAUUUUUUUGGAUUUAGUUGUACCGUCGCAAUAUUUUCUUAAACUUCUUUUGUGUAUUAUUUAUUUGAGUGUGCAGUUGUAUAGUACAAUAUGUAUGGGAAAUUGUAUACAUAUAUAUUUACAUAUAAUGUGUUUAUACACAUAUUAGUGGUUGGUUAUAUAUGUAUAUGAUAUAUGUAUGGGAAAUCGAGUAUUGCAAGUAAAUGGGAGCCAAAAUUUAUUGUA